rnacentral:tRNA from 1 species
AUCUAAAUAGCUUAUAAAUUAGAGCAUGACACUGAAGAUGUUAGGGAGAUUUAUUAAAUCUUUGGGUA